UUCGUAGGGUGCGAGCGUUAAUCGGACUUAUUGGGCGUAAAGCGUGCGUAGGCGGUUUCGCAAGUCCGCUUUGAAAGCCCCGGGCUUAACCUGGGAAUGGCAGUGGAAACUAUGGGACUUGAAUCUGGCAGAGGGGGGUGGAACUCCACGUGUAGCAGUGAAAUGCGUAGAUAUGUGGAAGAACACCGAUGGCGAAAGCAGCUCUCUGGGACGGUACUGACGCUGAGACGCGAAAGCGUGGGGAGCGAACAGG
rnacentral:rRNA from 1 species